CAGUUUUAUGAACAACUAAGUAAGUGUAGCUAAAAAUACUAAUGAGAUAUAAUUCUUAGCUUCUCAGAUGGGAGAAAAAUGAGAAGCUGGCUGACACUCAGGACCGUCAUGGCUGAGGGGACCGGGCUCUGCCAAGCACGGCUAGAAGGAGCAGAAAUCCAAACUAAUGUUCAGGGAGAUUUAUUUAUAUCUCUCUGGGUAGCUCCCUGGCUUACUCUGCAUCACUGAGAAGACUGGAGCGGGGGUUCUCAGUGCCUCAGUUUCCCCACUUACUCAGUAGCUAGAACAACAAAGACCUGUUUGUGCAGGCAGAAGAUUGAGGAGGGUGGGAAGCAGAACUAAGAAGUGAUUAUGAGGUUAUCAAUGCAAAGACCACCAGGCACUGUGACAGCGACAGUCACCUCUGACCUGCAUGGCCCCCCAGCUUCCCGCCCAGAACACUCUGACAUUUUAGUUGGUCUCAGCUGUGGCAAGAAGCAGCUGGACCCCAGUGAGAAGAGGAAACCAGAGGCUGCCUUCUGACAGCUGGGGUCAGGGUCCCUGGCUCAGUGGGCCUGAGUUCAGGUGCACCUACUUCCUCAUUCCCAUUCUGUCAAAUGGCACAUUAAUAAGCAAGAAGGAGAUUCGGGGAAGAAUUUCCAGAAGGACAAAAACUCAUCAGAUCUGACAACCGACUGGUCCUUUCUCUGUGCUGUGCGGUAGAGGAGAGGAUGCAACCUCGUGAAUGUCCGACUGCAAAGACCCACGUCUACAAAUUGCUGUCAGCCAGAGGAAUGACUGUAACUUCCUCGGUGCCGAGGCAGAGCCAAUGCCUUCUCUGUGUGUGUCUACAGGACAGACUUCAGUCAGUAUCUGCUGAGCACAUGCAUGGAUUGAUUUUAUACUCCUUCGUCCCACAAGGUCACGCCUUCCUCAUGCUUCCUUUUGAUCCAACGCAGGAGCAGGGUCGAUGUUAUUACUCCAAAGACCAAAUCGGCAAUGGUGUGGACUCUAGAGAUCUUGGGCUCAAGGUCACUGAAACUGAUGAACAUCUCAAGGUUAUUGCACGAUGGGCAAAGACUGCACCACAAAGCCAAAAGAAUGGAAAUUUUACCUCUCAGUGGUCUGCUGAUGUGAUUUCUUAUUUACUGCACCUUCCCUUCUAAUUGUGUUUAGCCAAGGGUUUAUCAAAAAUGUCACUGUUGGCUUUUUUCCUUCCCAAGAUCAAUAGGGGAGGGUUUCACUGGUUGUGAAAAUAUAUAAAAUAUAUCAUCAAGUAGAGGGAGUAAAUUGGGAAUGU
rnacentral:lncRNA from 1 species